UAAGGAAUAUUGGUCAAUGGAGGCAACUCUGAACCAGCCAUGCCGCGUGCAGGAAGAAGGCCCUAUGGGUCGUAAACUGCUUUUGAACAAGAGAAAACCCCGGUACGUGUACUGGGUUGAUAGUAUUGUUAGAAUAAGCAUCGGCUAACUUCGUGCCAGCAGCCGCGGUAAGACGAAGGAUGCAAGCGUUAUCCGGAUUCAUUGGGUUUAAAGGGUGCGUAGGCGGACUGAUAAGUCAGUGGUGAAAUCUCUCGGCUUAACCGAGAAACUGCCAUUGAUACUGUUAGUCUAGAGUACAGAUGAUGUGGGCGGAAUAUGACAUGUAGUGGUGAAAUACUUAGAUAUGUCAUAGAACACCGAUUGCGAAGGCAGCUCACAAAACUGUAACUGACGCUGAGGCGCGAAAGCAAGGGGAUCAAACAGGAUUAGAUACCCUCGUAGUCCCUGAGCGGGCUGGCAAGGCGCAU
rnacentral:rRNA from 1 species